rnacentral:lncRNA from 1 species
UACGGACUUAACAAGUGGUGAUGCCUGACCCCAGAGCAUGGAUCUUUCCUUCUCUGCAACUUCUGAGAUCUCAGGAAAGGUCUGAUAUCCAGGACCAGAUGCCCGGAAGUCGAUUUCAGCCGACUUCCAAACUUCCUCAGGAUCUGGGAUCCAAACCCUGUUGUACUGACCACAGGAUAAGACAGGUUUAAUCUCAGCAUUUGAAAACUCCAAACACAGAUCAUUAGACCCCCACAGGAGCAGGAUUACAUCCGGUCAACUGGAUCAACCUGUACAUUAAGAAGACUCUCGAGGUUAAGGGAUAAUUCCAUAAUGGACUGAACAAAUGUGAGAGCGGUUAGUAGACACCUACUCAAGUAUAUAGAGUCAGACGCUGUGUGAAUCGGGAGAAGGUUGAGGUGUUCAGACAGACAGGAGUCCUGCUGGAGGACAGGCCAAGAACACACCAGAGAGAAUCUUAAAGGACCAAAGUCGCCAGGAGUGCGCCUGUGACUUCUGCCUUGAAGUGUGGGUGGCUCUGAGGAUGACCCUGAGAAGCUAUCUGCCUGACUGUCCAGUGCUCUCCUAGCAACCUCUGGAUUCAUUUCAGCUACAAGUUUCAUUCAGUGGCUGGCGGUGUUAAAAUGCACAUGACCACUCUCCUCUCCU